GUCGUUUGUGGGCGGGUGCACACAGCUUUGCGGGAGGCAGGUUGUGUUUAGGAUUGGCGCGAUGUUGCUGUUGGGUACAGGCUUUCUUUCACUUCAGGAGCUGAAGGCCUCCAGUGAGGGAAGCUAGCUGUUUUGACCCUGUGGUGGUGGUGUUUCUCUCACAGAGCGUUUUUCAAAUAUGGCCGUCUGUGACGAUCACGGUCGUGGUGUUUUCCUGAUGAUGUAGCAAAGCAGGCUGUAGUAGGAUGGUUCAAGAUCUAAACACAGAACUUUCUAGGAAGAAUCUUUCCAGGCAUUAGUUAAAAACUGGGAUUAGUGUAUAAAUGUAGCAGGGGAGUAUGUCGAAAAAUGAAUGCAGUUUCACUCCUUGAAAUUCGUUCUUUUAUUUUAGAAAGUCUCGGUUUGACUUGAACGGCCCUCACAAUUAUCUACACAUUUGUCCUGUUUAAUUGAAUUCAGCAACAACUUUUUUUCAUUUCAUCCACAAAGUUCUACAUGCAGUUUGUCAUGUGUACAGUCUGUUACAAUACACCAUACAAAGAAACUGUUACUCCAUAACAUGAAUACAACGUUGUCCUACAACAUAAAUAAUAAAGACAAAAAAAAAAAGACAUACACAGAGAUGCACGUCAAAAUUCCUGCAGUGUGAGAUUGGGUUGUUGUCAUUCACAAUGUGAAGGGGUGCACGUGUGUGUGUGUGUGUGUGUGUGUGUGUGUGUGUGUGUGUGUGUGUGUGUGUGUCUGAAAUGAUGGGGAAGAGGCAGUAGAUGGGUGAUGGGUUUUGAAAAACUUUUAUCCUCUAAAUAAAACUGAAUAUUGUUUUUUUUUUUUUUGUAAGCUAUUUCAUAACUAUUUCAAUUCACCGCACGCACAAUUUAUUA